GAUGAACGCUGGCGGCGUGCCUAAUACAUGCAAGUCGAGCGAACAGACGAGGAGCUUGCUCCUCUGACGUUAGCGGCGGACGGGUGAGUAACACGUGGAUAACCUACCUAUAAGACUGGGAUAACUUCGGGAAACCGGAGCUAAUACCGGAUAAUAUAUUGAACCGCAUGGCUCAAUAGUGAAAGACGGUUUUGCUGUCACUUAUAGAUGGAUCCGCGCCGCAUUAGCUAGUUGGUAAGGUAACGGCUUACCAAGGCAACGAUGCGUAGCCGACCUGAGAGGGUGAUCGGCCACACUGGAACUGAGACACGUUCCAGACUCCUACGGGAGGCAGCAGUAGGGAAUCUUCCGCAAUGGGCGAAAGCCUGACGGAGCAACGCCGCGUGAGUGAUGAAGGUCUUCGGAUCGUAAAACUCUGUUAUUAGGGAAGAACAAAUGUGUAAGUAACUAUGCACGUCUUGACGGUACCUACUCAGAAAGCCACGGCUAACUACGUG
rnacentral:rRNA from 1 species